CCCCAACCUAGCAAGGCAGGUCAACAUUCAAAUUUAGGAAAUGCAGAGAAUGCCACAAAGAUACUCCUCAAGAAGAGCAACCCCAAGACACAUAAUCGUCAGAUUCACCAAGGUUGAAAUGAAGGAAAAAAAGGUUAAGGGCAGCCAGAGAGAGGUCAGGUUACCCACAAAAGGAAGCCCAUCAGACUAACGGUGGCUCUCUCAGCAGAAACUCUACAAGCCAGAAGAGAGUGGGGGCCAAUAUUCAACAUUCUUAAAGAAUUUUCAACCCAGAAUUUCAUAUCCAGCCAAACUAAGCUUCAUAAGUGAAGGAAACAUAAAAUCCUUUACAGACAAGCAAGUGCUGAGAGAUUUUGUCACCACCAGGCCUGCCUUACAAGAGCUCCUGAAGGAAGCACUAAAGGAACAACCGGUACCAGCCACUGCAAAACAUGCCAAAUUGUAAAGACCAUUGGUGCUAGGAAGAAACUGCAUCAACUAACAAGCAAAAUAACCAGCUAACAUCAUAAUGACAAGAUCAAGUUCACACGUAACAAUACUAACCUUAAAUGUAAAUGGGCUAAAUGCCCCAAUUAAA
rnacentral:lncRNA from 10 species